rnacentral:rRNA from 1 species
AGCGAACGCUGGCGGCAGGCCUAACACAUGCAAGUCGAGCGCCGUAGCAAUACGGAGCGGCAGACGGGUGAGUAACGCGUGGGAACGUACCUUUCGGUUCGGAAUAACUCAGGGAAACUUGAGCUAAUACCGAAUACGUCCGUAAGGAGAAAGAUUUAUCGCCGAAAGAUCGGCCCGCGUAAGAUUAGCUAGUUGGUGAGGUAACGGCUCACCAAGGCUAUGAUCUUUAGCUGUUCNGAGAGGAAGAUCAGCCACACUGGGAC